rnacentral:misc_RNA from 1 species
GGCUAUUAGCCUUCCAUCCUCCCCAUUUUCCAAGCUCUUUGGAGAGUCUACCUCAAGUUCUUCAAAAACAAGUUAUGGAAAAUCAGAACAAAGAACUGAAUUUAUAUAAUCCAAUAAUUCAAAUCAGCAGCCAUUCAUUCAGGUACUCUCAGAGAAGCAUUAAAUAGGCAAUAACCAAAACGCGUAAGUUCUUAUAGGAUCUUAACAAAAGAUGCAGCCAAGCAGUUAUUCGUAGAUAGAAACGAACUAUAACUCAAAAAAUGCAGAGUACAAAUGAAACUUCUACAAGUCUUAGAGAAAGGUUCAGGACGUCAGGCAUAAAAUAUGAUAAAAACUUGCCAUAGUAAUUAGAAAUUCAGAACCAAGAAUUUAAUGACAGUGUGAACAGUGAACUCCUAAAAUGCUGACUCAACUUGCCAUAGUAAUUAGAAAUUCAGAACCAAGAAUUUAAUGACAGUGUGAACAGUGAACUCCUAAAAUGCUGACUC